rnacentral:lncRNA from 1 species
ACUGAAGAAAAAAAAUAUUCUUCUCCUUUCUUUUUCCUUCUUUCUUCCUUCCAUUUUUUUUUUAAAUUAUUUUCUUGCAUUUGAAGCUGGGAAAUUAUGGCUGAUGAUAAGGUAACUAUUUUGCUUUGUGGGUAAUUUUUUUAUUUAUAAAAACAAUAUAAAUGUACUUGUUUAAGUUGUUUUCUUGAGUUUUUGGAGAAUUUAAGGUUGUUGUUUCUUGGAUAUAUUGCUUCUUUAGAUCAUAUAUCAUUACUAAUAUGAGUUUUUGGGUAUUUUUUUUAAUGUACAAAAAGUUCAUAAAUUUACUUGUUUAAGUUGUUUUCUUGAAUUUUUGGAGAAUUUAAGGUGGUUGUUUCUGGGAUAUAUUGCUUCUUUAGAUCAUAUAUCAUUAUACUAAUAUGAGUUUACAUACCAUUUUGCUUUGUUGGUUUUUUUUUAAUGUACAAAAAGUUCAUAACUUUACUUGUUUAAGCUGUUUUCUUGAUUUUUUUGGAGAAUUUAAGGUUUUUUCUUGGAUAAAUUGCUUCUGUAGAUAAUGUUCUAAUGUACAAAUAACAAAAAGUUCAUAACUUUACUUGUUUAGUUGGUUAUUGCUAGUUAAGGGAAUAUUUGUGUUGUUGUCCUUUAGAUCAAAUUUCACUACUAAUCUGAGUUUAAACGCCAUUUUGUUUUAUGUGUAUUUAUUUUUUAUGUACAAAAAGUUUAUAACUUUGCUUAUUAUGUUGGUUUUCUUUCUGCUAGUUUCAUUUUUUGGAAACUUUUAGUGUGAAUAUUUGGGUUGUUGUUUCUUAGAUUCAAGAUUUGGUUUAUUUAAGUAUAUCUAGUUACACAAAUGUUUCUACUAGCUGUUUUCAUAUUUCUUUUAAAGCAAGUGACUCACCUUCUUGAGCCACACGUUUCUUCCUAGAGUAGUCACAAGCUAUAUUAAACGGAGACUUGUUCAGGUAUUUAGGGGGCUGGCGUACAUGCACACUAUUGCCGGCGUUUGCCACAGACAUUUGAAAUUUUUAUUUAAGGGCUUCAAAAUAUAAAGAAGAAAAGUAAUAUCUACAUUAAAGAAAUAUAAUUUUACCUAGCUACAGAAUGUAUUUUUUCCAACGAACAUAUGGCUCCAUCACUGAUCAUAUCAAUUCUAAUUUCACCAAGUCUUUCACGUUUCAAUUAGAAUUGUAAAUAUGGUUCAUAAAUUCCCCUAAUCAGACAAAGACUUGUGCAAGUCAAUCAAGUCUUGCUUUGGUAUGCCAUGUUCCUCUAAUAUGUUAAUUUUACUAACUUAUAUUAUACUCUUGAGAAUUAUUUUUACAUGAUUAAAAUAGUUUAGGGAGAAAAGUUCGAAAUAUAUUUAAAUUUUGGUAAAAUUUGUUGGAACAUGUCUCAAUUUUGGGAGAGUCCUAUCACCCUCUGGAUUAUUUUUUACUGUAUUUCUGUGGCAUAAAUUUGCUUGCUUGACCAUUACAUGAAUGCACGCACACUGUGCACGUAACUGUCUGAAGUGGUCUAGCUAAGCUAUGCUACAGAAAUGCGGUAAAAAAUAAUCUAGGGGGACCAGCGUCCCCGUAAAGUUAAGGCAUGUUCCAACAAAUUUCGUCAAAACUUAUAUAUUUCGAACCUUUUUCCCGAUAGUUUAUAUAGCUAAUCAUAACAUUCUAGUUACUUUUCAUAAAAGUUAAUUUAGCUCAUUUUUAUAUGAGAUGGUAAUAAAAUGAGCUUUUAAUUAUAGUUUAUAAUUUGUUUGAAAUUUUGACUUGUUUUAGAGUAUGUUUUUAUGAACUUUUUUUUUGAUAAAAGAAUACACAAAAUUAAGAGCCAUUUGGAUAGAAUUAAAAUCUGGUCAAAUCUUUUCAUUUUUUUUUUUGGCUUUCCUUUAAGUGUUUAGUAAAAUUAAAAAGUGCUAAAAAAAACCAAAAACUGAUUAAAAAAAAAGUGAGAAGCUGGAGGGUGGGCUUGUUGUUGUUGAUGGAGCUGUUGAUGGUGGUAGUGGUGCUACUGUUGGUGCUAAUGAUGCUCCUCUUACAGUAUUUAAAGCAAACCAUUAUGAGUAUGAUCAUACUGGUUAUACAGAUUUUGCCUCUCCCAGCGAAUGCUCUGCAUGCAAAUGUCAAGACUGCAGAUUUUGCCUCUCCCAGCGAAUACUCUGCAUGCAAAUGUCAAGACUGCAGAUUUUGCCUCUCCCAGCGAAUACUCUGCAUGCAAAUGUCAAGACUGCAGGGCGAAACAUGAUGUAGUGAUUAAUGCUAUUAAUGCAUUAACUUCUUCUGUAAAGGAAUUGACAUCUAAGAGGGGUCUCAUUCCAUCAAAGAGGAUUUUAUUUCAUCAGUCAUCCAAAAAAGUGAAAUUGCAACUCCUCUGUCUGUGUGUUGUACUAAGCAACGUACAAUGUCCAAAGGAGAGCAGCACGAGCUGAAGAAGGUGAAUAUAUUAUAUGUCUUCCAACUGACAAAACAAACAAACACAUAUCUGUUUCAACAGAUGACACAUCUGCUGAAAAUUUUCUAAUAGAUAUAUACAUCUGUUACAACAAUUGACUAACCUGUUGCACCAGAUACUUUAUCUGAUGCAACAUAUGUCUCAUCUAUUUUAGCAAAUCAAACAGCUCUUCGUACAACUUUUAUUUGUACCAACAGACGACCUAUCUGCUGCAACAGAUGAUUCAUAUGUUACAACGGAUGGUUCAUCCGUUGGAAAUUAUCACACAGGAUCUUCCUCAUGUAAAAAUUUGUCCCAACAGUUGAUUCAUUAUUGCAACAAAAAUAAAAUAUGUUUGGGAUAAUUUAAAAUGGGAGGAAGACCUGUUUGAUUUGCUAGAAGAGAUGAGUUAUCCUUUUCUGUUUUGUUGUAUCUCCGUGAUUAGCAUUGACCAAUUCUGGCUUUCCAGGUUGAUAUAGAAGAAGCUACUGCUGAACAAAAUUGACAAUAUUCUACUUUUUUUAUGGAAAUACGGACAACAAAAAGUGUAGAAACCGUACACAAGCGACAAUGAAGAUCCACGACCAGCAAAGCCGAAUUCCAUAGUACCGGAUGAAGAACAACUUGUCCAUACUGAGUAGAUCUUUAUAUCUUGAGCCUGUCAAAGCAAUCCUUGGUAGUAUACUUAAAUUGUUGUUGAUGUAUUUGUUGAGAUCUAUUCCCAUAACAAUUUUUUUACAUUUCAUUUAUUCGUUGACUUAUUUCAGCUAAUUUAUGAAGGCUUCGAUUUAUUUUA